rnacentral:snoRNA from 1 species
AAAAAGUAAAUUAACCAGUGUAUUUGGCUGUCUUUGCAUCUCCAACUCAAAGACAGUCUCUCUAAGCUGGGAGAACAAGAAGUCUUUCUUUGGACAAUUUAAGUUCUGUCUACCGUAGAAUUCAAUUGCGAUUUGACCCUAAUAUUGUUCAGAUAUUU